rnacentral:rRNA from 1 species
CAAGUCGAACGAAUCCCAUGGGGGUAACUCUGUGGGGGAAGUAGCGAAAGGGGCAGUAAGGCAUGGGUAACCUACCCCGGGGAUCGGGAUAGCCAUUCUAACGAGUGGGUAAUACCGGGCGAUGCGACGAAGGGGCAUCUCUUUGUCGUGAAAUGAAUUUCGCCUCGGGAGGGGCUCAUGUAGUAUUAGCUUGUUGGUGAGGUAACGGCUCACCAAGGCCAAGAUGCUUAGCGGGUGUGAGAGCACGACCCGCGCCACUGGCACUGAGACACUGGCCAGACUCCUACGGGAGGCUGCAGUCGAGGAUCUUCGGCAAUGGGCGCAAGCCUGACCGAGCGACGCCGCGUGUGCGAUGAAGGCCUUCGGGUUGUAAAGCACUGUCGAGGGGGAGGAAAGCCCGCAAGGGUCUGACCUAUCCCUGGAGGAAGCACGGGCUAAGUUCGUGCCAGCAGCCGCGGUAAGACGAACCGUGCGAACGUUGUUCGGAUUCACUGGGCUUAAAGGGCGCGUAGGCGGGCGGUCAAGUCGGGGGUGAAAUCUUUCAGCUUAACUGGAAAAGUGCCUCCGAUACUGAUCGCCUCGAGGGAGGUAGGGGCAUGUGGAACUUCCGGUGGAGCGGUGAAAUGCGUAGAUAUCGGAAGGAACGCCGGUGGCGAAAGCGACGUGCUGGACCUCUUCUGACGCUGAGGCGCGAAAGCUAGGGGAGCAAACGGGAUUAGAUACCCCGGUAGUCCUAGCCCUAAACGAUGGGUACUAGAUUGUGGACUUAACAUGGGUUCACAGUCGAAGCUAAAGUGUUAAGUACCCCGCCUGGGGAGUAUGGUCGCAAGGCUGAAACUCAAAGGAAUUGACGGGGGCUCACACAAGCGGUGGA